rnacentral:rRNA from 1 species
AGUGAACGCUGGCGGUAGGCCUAACACAUGCAAGUCGAACGGCAGCACAGUAAGAGCUUGCUCUUACGGGUGGCGAGUGGCGGACGGGUGAGGAAUACAUCGGAAUCUACUUUUUCGUGGGGGAUAACGUAGGGAAACUUACGCUAAUACCGCAUACGACCUACGGGUGAAAGCAGGGGAUCUUCGGACCUUGAGCGAUUGAAGGAGCCGAUGUCGGAUUAGCUAGUUGGCGGGGUAAAGGCCCACCAAGGCGACGAUCCGUAGCUGGUCUGAGAGGAUGAUCAGCCACACUGGAACUGGGACACGGUCCAGACUCCUACGGGAGGCAGCAGUGGGGAAUAUUGGACAAUGGGCGCAAGCCUGAUCCAGCCAUACCGCGUGGGUGAAGAAGGCCUUCGGGUUGUAAAGCCCUUUUGUUGGGAAAGAAAAGCAGCAGGUUAAUACCCCGCUGUUCUGACGGUACCCAACGAAUAAGCACCGGCUAACUUCGUG